AGGCAUCUAAGCGUGAAGCCCACCUCAAGAAUAAGAUUCCCAUUCGAAAGAAGUAAGACCCCUGGAGGACUACCAGGUAGAUAGGUCAUCGGUGGAAGUGUGGUAACACAUGUAGCUUGAUGAUACUAAUAGGUCGAGGGCUUGAUUUA
rnacentral:rRNA from 1 species